rnacentral:rRNA from 1 species
AUUGAACGCUGGCGGAAUGCUUUACACAUGCAAGUCGAACGGCAGCACGGGUGCUUGCACCUGGUGGCGAGUGGCGAACGGGUGAGUAAUACAUCGGAACGUACCCAGUCGUGGGGGAUAACGUAGCGAAAGUUGCGCUAAUACCGCAUACGUCCUGAGGGAGAAAGCGGGGGACCGUAAGGCCUCGCGCGAUUGGAACGGCCGAUGUCUGAUUAGCUAGUUGGUGAGGUAAAGGCUCACCAAGGCGACGAUCAGUAGCUGGUCUGAGAGGAUGAUCAGCCACACUGGAACUGAGACACGGUCCAGACUCCUACGGGAGGCAGCAGUGGGGAAUUUUGGACAAUGGGCGAAAGCCUGAUCCAGCCAUUCCGCGUGAGUGAAGAAGGCCUUCGGGUUGUAAAACUCUUUCGGCAGGAACGAAACGCUCUAGAUUAAUACUCUGGGGUAAUGACGGUACCUGAAGAAGAAGCACCGGCUAACUACGUGCCAGCCGCCGCCGUAA